GUGUGCUCCCGCUGCUACCGCGGGCGCCUGGCUCCAUCCACAGCUACCGCACCAACAUCCUGCUGCAGUGCAGGGCUCGCACCCGCGUCAACAACGGGCGCGUCUGGAUCGGGGCCAUCACCCGUCCUGUGGGCGGCAGCGUGUUCUGCCACUGGUCUGACAACAGCGGCUGGAACUACGCGUACUGGCUGCACGGCUACCCGCUGGUCACGGGGCGCUUCUGCACCACCCUCUGCACCGCAAAUGGGCGCUGGAGGAGCACAAACUGCCACGUGAGGCUGCCCUUCAUCUGCGAGUACUGAGGGUGCUGUCCCAAUAAACGAGAGCUCUGGCGCUGUCGCCGGACACCCCCCGGCUCAGUGCUCCGCCGGGCAUCCCCCUGCCCACCCCGCAGCACGGGCUGCUCCCCCAGCCCAGCUCCCAGGUAAAGCCUCAGCUGCUG